rnacentral:rRNA from 1 species
GGACCCGCACAAGCGGUGGAGCAUGUUGUUUAAUUCGAAGCAACGCGAAGAACCUUACCUACACUUGACAUACCUCUUAGGACUUUCAGAGAUGAUUGUUUUCAGUUCGGCUGGGGAGAGUACAGGUGCUGCAUGGCUGUCGUCAGCUCGUGUCGUGAGAUGUUGGGUUAAGUCCCGCAACGAGCGCAACCCUUAUCGUAUGUUGCCAGCAUUUAGUUGGGCACUCAUGCGAGACUGCCGGUGAUAAGCCGGAGGAAGGCGGGGACGACGUCAAGUCAUCAUGGCCCUUACGUGUAGGGCUACAAACGUGCUACAAUGGUGGUGACAGUGGGCACUGAGGCUGUGAGGCCAAAGUAAUCCCUAAAAGCCAUCUCAGUUCAGAUUGUAGUCUGCAACUCGACUACAUGAAGUUGGAAUCGCUAGUAAUCGUGAAUCAGCAUGUCACGGUGAAUACGUUCCCGGGUCUU